GACAUUCUUCUUUUCUUUUCCUCUUUAAUAGUACACAACUCUUUCUUCAGUCAAUUUUCAAAAUCCCUAAAUAAAGCACCUCUCCAAAAAACACUCUCAAACCCCAAGUCUUCUGCAACAACAAAAUACAAACUUUUUUGCAAACUAAGGUCACAUAUUUUUCCAAUUUCUUUAUCAAUCUUACUGCUUCUUUUGUUUCUUUAUCUUUUUUCUUUGAUUUGUGAAGUACUGGAGUUGGGUUAAAAUAUUGUUGAUUAUUUGAAUGUUUUAAAUUUAUUUUGACAGUCAAGAACGGGAGGAAGUGUUAUAAUUGGCAUCGACAAGCUUUAAAUCUCGUCUUCGGUUCUUCAAAUUGGUAUUGCUCUUUGCCUCUUCACUUCUUUUUCUUCUCAGAGUAAUGUCAUUCUUGUCAAUAUUACCCUAUCCAUAUUUGCUUGAUUUUUUUUAUUUUAAAAGUACUGAAACUUUCUUAUUCCCAAAUUAACUAGUUAUAUUAUAGUAGUAUAACUAUAACUAGUUAUGUUUAUUAGAAAAAAAAAUUAACUAGUUAUGUUUAUACGCACUCCGAAUAUCUUAAUAUGAGAGUGAUGGUUGGAGUUUAUAUCGCUUGUAUGAUUCGAAUAUUUGUGAUGAAUGGCAGGGGUGGAUCUACCAUGUAUAACAUGUUUCCAAUAUCUCUAAGUUCAGGGGAUCCAAUAUCUCUUGUUUCCAAUACCCUAAGGUCAGGGGAUCAAAUCCCUUACCUACCUUUUGGUUUAAUUUGUAAAAUAAAUAAUGGUGAACCCAUCCUCCGGGAAUUCUGGAUCCGCCUCUGCUAGUAAUAGUGUAUCAAUGUCCCACUUAAAUGACAAGCCUAGCAAAAUUUAGCCCUAUCUUCUUCUCUGUUUGUUGGUCAAUCAUCAAAGACUUACCAAUUAGACUUCCAAUUUUACUAAGUAGUUUGGGAUUCCAAUAUGAAUAUGGUAGUUCCACCCAUAUAGGAACAAAAUACAACUCUUCCAUAUUGAAUUCCAUACUAUAAUUCCAAGCUUUCAUUAUGAAGGUCUUGUUAUCAAUAUAUCCCCCCUAAUUGCACCACCUCAGUUUUCCCCAUUUAAGUAUCAAAGCGAACUAGUACUAUUCCAUUUUUCAAUAUAGUGUUCUUGUUAAUUCCAUGUUUCCCACAUUCUUUGUAUAAAGCCAUUGAGUGGGUAUGCCCAAGUACAUAGCACAUCACUUGUCACACCUCAUUUUUCACUACGUCCGCAAGAGCAUAAAGGAGUUUUUCCAAUUUAAAGACAAUUGGAACGGUAUUUAAUUAUUAAAGUUUAGAGACUCCACUUGGGAUAUUAAUGGUGUCCCAAGUUACCGGUUGAAUCCCGAACCGAGGAAAAGGUGUUAGGCAUAGCUCUGUGGUUCUAACACGGUCGCUUAACUGUCAUAUUUGAUUUAUCUGAUUUCAAAACAUGUUUUAGCUUAUGUGCCUUUUAACUGUAAACCGAUUUUAUUAUUAUUAUUAGCGAGAAUUGCAACGUCGUGAAAACGCGUCUCGAACCACGUCGCAAUCAAUGCGCCCGUGGUGGUUGACACAUUUCGACUUCGUUGAGAUUUGAAUUUGGGUCGCAUCGAUGCGCACCCGAGUUUAGGAAGAUAAUUUUAUUAAAAUCCGCGCCUAAAGUAACUAACGCGUUAUUAUUUUUCGGAAAAACCGUGAAAUUUGCUAAACGGCUCAUCCCGAAGUCUAAAGAUUAGUGCAAGAUUUAUUGAGGGCCCCGUAAUUUUGUAUUUUUUGUGUGGCGAGGCUCGUCUCAUUUUUAUUAAAAGUCAUUUCUAAAGUGACUAUGAUUUUCUACUCAACCUUUUGUCUCUAAUAAUAAAAGAAAUAUCCUAAUUGAUAAGUGAGUUGGAUUAUACUAUGUUAAACUGUAUAUAGCAAUCUUUAAAUCAGGCCUCAAAUCAAUGAAUCACAUAAUUUGACCCAUGAACACAAAUCCUGCUAGAAAAUGGGCCAUCCAUUUGAGUGUCAAGGCCCAACAUCACAUGGAUAAGCCAAUGUAUGAAACAACUGAACUAAAUCAAGUGUGUGUCUGUGAAUACCGACAUAAGCAGCCCAAACGGCCUUGAUUAAACGGACGAAACAUCGUUGUUUUGAAUUUGGGGGACGGACUGGGUAUGAACAUUGGGCCUGGGCGUGGGGAAUUGUGGGGUAAUUUUGGAUUGGGCCAGGGGAAUGGACUCAAAAACGGCCCAAAUUUGGUCCUUUUUAGAAGACCACUUCUUUUAACUCUUUUUUUUUCUUUUUUUUCUUUUUUUUUGCUUUUAUAUUAUUUAUUUAUUUAUUGUAUUUUUCUGCUUUUAUUAAAGUGCAAAAAUAAAAAUAAAGUUCUUAUGCAUUUCAAAGCUAAAUUAAUUAACUCCUAAAAUUGUUCAAAAACUAUUUCAUGACAAAUUCACAAUUAAAAUAAUUAAAAUGCAAAAAGUAAACUAUUUUGAUUAUUUCUUCAUAUUUUCUUCUAAAACAAGUUAACCCCUAAUUAAUAAAAAUACAAAAUUAAAACCCUAAAUACAAAUAUAUUUUUCUAUUUUUUAUAUGAAUUAAGAUGCACAAAUAAAAUGCAACAAUUACCAUAAAAUGCCACAAAAUUCACAAAAAUUAUAAAAUAAUAAAGAAAUUGUUUUGUUUGAAUUUUGGAAAUUAUUUGUUUAGGGCAAAAAUCACGUGCUCACAAUUGCCUCUCUUUGCCCGGAAAUACGAAGAGUUUUCGUGCAAAGACAAGUGAGCGGAAACGUGCGAUUUUUGCCCGUUUGCAUAUUCCAUGUGAAGCAUUUUUUGAAAGAGCUGACCGAACCCUACUUCAAAGGUUGCCUACAUAUCCUGGGCUAAACAUGAAUCAGGUCAGUGUAGUUCGGGAGUUUCUGGUAGCUGGGACUAUCAGGAGCUGUGAUUUCACUGCGAUUGCUGCUGCUGCUGCUACUGCUCGCUGACCUUCCAUAUUACACCAUGGCAAAAUAAAAGAAGCUAGACUAAGAUAUGAACUGUGAAUUACAAGAUCCUAUCUAAAUUCUUCAAACUUGCUCUUGUACUUCCUUGUUGUCUUGUGUUCUCUUGAUAAAAUCCAUUGUUGCCACUUCCAAUUUGUGAACUGCGAUGUUGUUCUUUUACUUCAAAUUGCUGAACUUGAAUGUAUUCCCUUGUUGUAAGGGUGGGCUCCC
rnacentral:lncRNA from 1 species